rnacentral:lncRNA from 1 species
AGACUAAGAUGAAAUUGGUCUAAUAAUAUGUUGCUGUCUUUUGGUAACAAAGUUUCUAUCGAUUUUAUCCAAGAAAGCAUAGUAUCAGUCGCUGUAUCUGAAAUCAAUAUUAAAAUGUUUUAAUAUUAUUUAUAUCUUGUGAUACCUGCACUAUGUAAACUUUCAUGUUUUUAUUUAAUUUUUCAACAUUCCAUUCUACGUUCUACAUUAGGGAUGGCAAAUAAGAUUUAAUCUACGUACCAAAAUAAUGUAACAUUUAUUGUGAUCUUUUUCAUUCAGUUUCAUCGACCUUGUAUUUAUGAUUGCAUUGAAUGACCUGUCCCUUGAAAUGAAAUUUGAUUGAACAUAUUUUGUAUAUGUGCAGCGAGUAUCAUCAACAAUUGCUCCCGUGUCAAGGUCAGCACAUGUUCCACUUAUUUGCCAUCCCUGUUUUACAUUUCAAAAUUUUUCUACAAAAAUGUAUCAAUUACAAUUAAUGUAAAUCAACGUUGACCAAUUGCCACGUUCGUGUUUAAAACUUCUAAUCCUUCCAUUAUGUUCUGACGGGUUAUCAAUUUUUUCUUCAUGAUGAGGAACACCUUUCCACGACAGAAUACUUUCAGCGCAGAUUUCUGUAUUAGAUGAAGAAAAGAAAA